AGAGUUUGAUCCUGGCUCAGAUUGAACGCUGGCGGCAUGCCUUACACAUGCAAGUCGAACGGCAGCACGGGAGCUUGCUCCUGGUGGCGAGUGGCGAACGGGUGAGUAAUACAUCGGAACGUACCCAGGAGUGGGGGAUAACGUAGCGAAAGUUACGCUAAUACCGCAUAUUCUGUGAGCAGGAAAGCGGGGGAUCGCAAGACCUCGCGCUCUUGGAGCGGCCGAUGUCGGAUUAGCUAGUUGGUGAGGUAAAGGCUCACCAAGGCGACGAUCCGUAGCAGGUCUGAGAGGAUGAUCUGCCACACUGGGACUGAGACACGGCCCAGACUCCUACGGGAGGCAGCAGUGGGGAAUUUUGGACAAUGGGGGCAACCCUGAUCCAGCCAUGCCGCGUGAGUGAAGAAGGCCUUCGGGUUGU
rnacentral:rRNA from 1 species